UACAUGGUUUUCUAGGGUUCCGCGAGGGCAUGACAGCCUCGGUCUGGACCAAGAGAAAACGCACAGCUAACCCUGUGUUCACGGAGGGAUAAAAGCCCGGGAGGA
rnacentral:sRNA from 2 species